rnacentral:lncRNA from 10 species
AUUUACUCAUCUUAGAAGAGAACUGGACAUCGUAAACCAAAAAAGGUGGAGAUAUUUUAAACAGUCAACAUUUAACCCAAAGGAAUACAUCUUUAAUGGUAAAAUUUUGAACUGUGAUAUGGUUUGGCCCUGUGUCCCUACCCAAAUCCCAUGUUGAAGCGUGAUCAUGAGUGUUGGAGGUGGGUCCUGGCAGAAGGUGAUUGGAUCAUGGGGGUGGUUUCUACUGGUUCAGCACCAUCCCCCUAAUACUGUCUCGUGAUAGAGUUCUCAGGAGAUCUGCUUCCCCUUCUCUUUUCCUCCUGCUCCAGCCAUGUAGGGCA